rnacentral:rRNA from 1 species
UAGGGAAUCUUCCGCAAUGGGCGAAAGCCUGACGGAGCAACGCCGCGUGAGUGAUGAAGGUCUUCGGAUCGUAAAACUCUGUUAUUAGGGAAGAACAAAUGUGUAAGUAACUAUGCACGUCUUGACGGUACCUAAUCAGAAAGCCACGGCUAACUACGUGCCAGCAGCCGCGGUAAUACGUAGGUGGCAAGCGUUAUCCGGAAUUAUUGGGCGUAAAGCGCGCGUAGGCGGUUUUUUAAGUCUGAUGUGAAAGCCCACGGCUCAACCGUGGAGGGUCAUUAGAAACUGGAAAACUUGAGUGCAGAAGAGGAAAGUGGAAUUCCAUGUGUAGCGGUGAAAUGCGCAGAGAUAUGGAGGAACACCAGUGGCGAAGGCGACUGUCUGGUCUGAAACUGACGCUGAUGUGCGAAAGCGUGGGGAUCAAACAGG